GAACCAGAAAAAUGAAGUUUUUGAUCCUCUUUAUUGUGACUCUUUGUGUGGAUUUCUGUUCCCCCAGAAUAUGCUGCUCCGCAGCAGGACAAUGUCGGAUAUGCAGAUUUCCUACGGUAAAUUUUAAACGUUCAUUUCCUGUGUUAUGGAA